AGACAUGUCUCUUGCCAAGAAAAAGACUCUUCAUAAUGUACCAUAACCCGGCUCUCUACUGUCGACGGACCAUGUGACUGCUACAGACGCAUGUGUCUGCCCGCAGGACCUGUGCGGGUUCCCAGUGCCAUGGGAUGCAGACAACAGCCCAAGGAAAGGGACUACGCGAGACGUCUGUGAGAAGGGAGAGAGGCAUCUUCCGAAAGGAUCCCCUGGGACCUGUCUCUAGCAGCAGGGGGAGGAGAGUCACCCUGCUCCAACAAUCCAGGCACUGUCUGGCUGUCGAUUUUCCCAGAGUUUGUGCACUUUUGCACAUUUCCAGGCUCAGUGUUGGAUGAAUCAUCUCUCUGGCAUCGGCUUAUCUCUGAUAUACUUCUGUUCAAGUCCGGGAGAGGCCACGGAGAAACGUGACCUGCAAAAAGAAACACACUGGGCUUCUCCCUUCUUGGCUUGUUUGUUAGGGAUCAAGCAGGCCUCAGACAGCUUAUUCUGAUUUGGUUUAAAGGAUUUUUUCUGUUUUGUUUUUGUUUUUUACGAAAAUACAGGCCUUAUUAACCCUUUUUAUUCUGGAGGCCUGCUCAAGGGUGCCAUGCAAGCGAAAACUGAUCAAAUCAGAGGCAAAGUAGCCGUCAGUCAUGCUAUUCAAAAUUCCUUGGGUUGCGUUGAGUUUUGUUAUCACCUUUUCAGCUGAGAUAACUGGAAGAAAAGCUCUCAAAGAUUCAGCACCCAGGAAAAUACCACAGAUUUCAGAGCUGCCAGCAUAGUAGUUCCAAUACUUGUAAAAGGCACCUACAGACUGAUCAGCUGGACACAGAUCCCUAGUAAAAUAGUGGAGUAGUUAUUUUGGCUAAAAUUAGAGGCUACAAAUAUAAUGAAUACCAGUCGGCAUGGUUCUAUGGAAAGCAGGCCUUGUCACACAAACCUAUUGUCUUUCUUAAAAAAAAAAUAUGAGUCUACCUGGGAAAGGCAACUGUAUCGCUAUAGAAUAUUUGCAUUCCUCCAAGGCAUUUGACCAAGCACCACAUUACAUUUGGAUUAAAACCGUACAUUCCCUGGAACUGACCAGCCACAAUGUUUGGUAGAAUCGACCCUGGAUGCCAGGCAGAUCUCAAACUGUAGUUCUUCCUAGGGAAAAGUCACUGAGCAGGGCUGUCUAGCAAGGGCCCUUGGGGAUCAGUUUACUCUUUGAACUAGGGGAUGAUCUAAAAUCUUUGCUGGUCACGUCUGCAGAGGACCCAAAGGGACUGGUGGACUCUAGGAAGCCUACAACUGGCAGUUGCUGUACAGUGACCCAGCCGAAAGGAAAACCACAGCAAUGAGACGCACUAGCAACAGAGAGUGAGUGAUGGUAAAUAGUAGAGCAGCAUGAAAAGAACCGGCGCUGCCUCUGAGACCAGCGGUCGCACGGCGUGGCUCCGUAGCAGGGUGCGCGAGACACAGCGCAGACCCUGCGCCAAGAACUGACCCUUGGUAGAUGAAGCUGAGGUGUCUGCUUCCCCCUGCAUCCCUGCAGUCGUAAGUAUCCGCCCGGGUUUCUCAGCUCCUUGCAGAGACAGUCCAUGCUCUGUGCCCCCCACAGGGAAUUUUACCGCUGGUCUUUCUUCUCAGUGUUCUCCUUCAUCGAAAGCCAAAGCGGCCUCAGUCUGGGAGGGGGUGGUCCCCUCCGGGCGGCUCACAGACUCUGAGGGGCUAAGGAGGUGUCAGUGGCGCUGGGCGGCUGGAAUAAAGAUGUUCCAUCCUCCGGCUGUGAUCUUAAACCUGCCCCUCGGCCUCCCUCCGCUGCCCAGACUGGGGGGGCCCCCUGUCCGUUGUGGGAGCUGGACUGGAGAAAGCCGGCUGCAGAGACUGUCCCCCCACCUCCAUGCUGUGGAGCCCAUGACAGAGAGGACGCGACCAGGCAGUGAGGAGCUGGGAACUACCCCGCUUUGCCGGACCAAAGGCCUUAUAGAAAAGCCUGAUCCGCUCUAGCUGCCCUGCUUGUCUUGAAGCCACAUUCACCAGCCUUUGGGCUCCCUCCCACCCUGCUGAGGGACUGGUCUGCGCGCUCAGGGUGUUGCUGGGACCUGGGCACCUCAGGGCAGGGACAAGCGCGUGUUCUCCGGGCCCCAGAAGUGCCACUGGGCUCCACCUGGAGCCAUGGUGACCAGCUGGCCUGGCUCAGGGCCCUCCCAGGGAAGCGGUUAGCCCCAUGGGGCAGUCGGGGCACGCUGGCCCGGGGGCAGCAAUGGGCGUUUCUGCUGUGGGGGGACAGAGCCGGGCUGCGCGUCUCUCCCAGGCGGGGAUGGGAUAAGCUCAGCAAGCUCUGAAACCAGGCCCACGAGGCGGAGACACAGGAAGGGCCACGCAGGCGCCACGCUGCAGCCGGCCCCUGACCAGCAGAGCCGCGCCUUUCUCCUUCCCUGCCCCAAAGGCCGGGCAUGAC